UACGGAGGGUGCGAGCGUUGUCCGGAAUCAUUGGGCGUAAAGGGCUCGUAGGCGGUUUGUCGCGUCGGGAGUGAAAUCCACUGGCUUAACUGGUGGCUUGCUUUCGAUACGGGCAGACUGGAGGUAUGCAGGGGAGAACGGAAUUCCUGGUGUAGCGGUGAAAUGCGCAGAUAUCAGGAGGAACACCGGUGGCGAAGGCGGUUCUCUGGGCAUGUCCUGACGCUGAGGAGCGAAAGUGUGGGGAGCGAACAGG
rnacentral:rRNA from 1 species